rnacentral:rRNA from 1 species
UACACGCUGUGACUAGCAUAUCAAUAAGCGGAGGAAAAGAAACUAACAAGGAUUCCCCUAGUAACGGCGAGUGAAGCGGGAAGAGCUCAAAUUUGAAAUCUUAAAGGGUUUCCCUUUACGAAUUGUAGUUUAAAGAAGUGUUUUCUGUUGAGGUUUUGGUAAAAGUUCUUUGGAAUAGGACAUCAUAGAGGGUGAGAAUCCCGUAUUUGACCUUUACUUUCCAACUUUGUGAUACACUUUCAAAGAGUCGGAUUGUUUGGGAAUGCAGUCCAAAAUGGGUGGUAAAUUUCAUCUAAAGCUAAAUAUUGGCGAGAGACCGAUAGCGAACAAGUACCGUGAGGGAAAGAUGAAAAGAACUUUGAAAAGAGAGUUAAACAGUACGUGAAAUUGUCAAAAGGGAAGCGUUUGACACCAGUGUUGUUUUUCUGAAAAUCAAUUAAAGAACUGUUUAUGCUAAGCUGUUUAGACUUUAUCAGCUAUCUGUUUAGUUUUGAGCUUUUCUUUAAUGCACUUUUCAGUUAACAAGUCAACAUCAAUUUCUUUUGCUGUAAAAAAGCUUGAGGAAGGUGGCUUGAGAUUCGUCUUAAGUGUUUAUAGCCUCUUGCCUAUGCAGUCGGAGAGAUUGAGGUCUGCAGCGUAGAUCCUUCGGGGCUAAAUGCAUUUGUGCUAAGUUAUAGCAUUUUAUAGACAACUUGUUGACUAUGAUUUGUCUUGUAGCUUACUCGCUUAUGUUAUUUUACCUACGCUUAGGAUGUUGAGUCGUAGAGCACGCAG